rfam:Actinobacillus succinogenes 130Z, complete genome.
GGAGGAAUGGCAGAGCGGUUGAAUGCACCGGUCUUGAAAACCGGCGAGGGUGCGAGCCCUCCCUGAGUUCGAAUCUCAGUUCCUCCG